rnacentral:rRNA from 1 species
GUGCCAGCAGCCGCGGUAAUACGAAGGGGGCUAGCGUUGCUCGGAAUUACUGGGCGUAAAGCGCACGUAGGCGGCGAUUCAAGUUAGAUGUGAAAGGCCUGGGCUCAACCCGGGAACUGCAUUUGAUACUGAAUUGCUAGAGUCCAAGAGAGGGUAGUGGAAUUCCCAGUGUAGAGGUGAAAUUCGUAGAUAUUGGGAAGAACACCAGUGGCGAAGGCGGCUACCUGGCUUGGUACUGACGCUCAGGUGCGAAAGCGUGGGGAGCGAACAGGAUUAGAUACCCCGGUAGUCC